rnacentral:rRNA from 1 species
GAUGAACGCUGGCGGCGUGCCUAAUACAUGCAAGUCGAGCGAACAGACGAGGAGCUUGCUCCUCUGACGUUAGCGGCGGACGGGUGAGUAACACGUGGAUAACCUACCUAUAAGACUGGGAUAACUUCGGGAAACCGGAGCUAAUACCGGAUAAUAUAUUGAACCGCAUGGUUCAAUAGUGAAAGACGGUUUUGCUGUCACUUAUAGAUGGAUCCGCGCCGCAUUAGCUAGUUGGUAAGGUAACGGCUUACCAAGGCAACGAUGCGUAGCCGACCUGAGAGGGUGAUCGGCCACACUGGAACUGAGACACGGUCCAGACCCCUACGGGAGGCAGCAGUAGGGAAUCUUCCGCAAUGGGCGAAAGCUUGACGGAGCAAAGCCGCGUGAGUGAUAAAGGUCUUCGGAUCGUAAAACUCUGUUAUUAGGGAAGAACAAAUGUGUAAGUAACUAUGCACGUCUUGACGGUACCUAAUCAGAAAGCCACGGCUAACUACGUG